GCUGGCUCAGUAGGUACAGCAUGUGACUCUUGAUCUUAGGGUCAUGAGUUCAAGCCUCAUAUAAGGCA
rnacentral:tRNA from 1 species